rnacentral:misc_RNA from 1 species
GAUGAAGAACGCAGCGAAAUGCGAUACGUAAUGUGAAUUGCAGAAUUCAGUGAAUCAUCGAGUCUUUGAACGCACAUUGCGCCCCCUGGUAUUCCGGGGGGCAUGCCUGUCCGAGCGUCAUUGCUGCCCUCAAGCACGGCUUGUGUGUUGGGCCUCCGUCCUCCUCCCGGGGGACGGGCCCGAAAGGCAGCGGCGGCACCGCGUCCGGUCCUCGAGCGUAUGGGGCUUCGUCACCCGCUCUUGUAGGCACGGCCGGCGCUUGCCGACACAUCAAUCUUUUUUCCAGGUUGACCUCGGAUCAGGUAGGGAUACCCGCUGAACUUAAGCAUAUCAAUAAGCGGAGGA